UUUAUCAUAAUAAAAAACAAAUGGUUGCAUUCAAGACCGGCUUAAAACGACGUCCAGCAGGGAGAAGAUAUGGCAGAGCGCUGCAGUCGUGAGAGAGGCUUGCGUUCAUCGUGACGGUUCGAGCCUGAGAUUGAAGUGCAAACGAGGAAGGUGUUCCACUUCGGACCAAGGAAGAGGAAAGAAUCAGAGAGCAGCGGGGAUUCAGUUUGUACUCUGGAUAUCAGAGGGUUUUAAAAGGAGAGGAGGCCGCGAGAGACGGCAGAGGAGCCUCCUCUUUUUCUUUGAGGGGGAGCUUCGGUUUUGAGGAUUCGGAAGGGAGCGAUUUGGAGAAAGGGAGGCCGAAGAGAGAGAGGGGACUUUGAGUUUUGAGGGAGCAAGAAAUCACUCUCUACAAUUGUCAGCAACAUGGAGGAGAGUCUAAGGCCGNNN
rnacentral:lncRNA from 1 species